UACGUAGGUGGCAAGCGUUAUCCGGAUUUACUGGGUGUAAAGGGCGUGUAGGCGGGGACGCAAGUCAGAUGUGAAAUCCGGGGGCUCAACCCCCGAACUGCAUUUGAAACUGUUGGUCUUGAGUAUCGGAGAGGCAGGCGGAAUUCCUAGUGUAGCGGUGAAAUGCGUAGAUAUUAGGAGGAACACCAGUGGCGAAGGCGGCCUGCUGGACGACAACUGACGGUGAGGCGCGAAAGCGUGGGGAGCAAACAGG
rnacentral:rRNA from 1 species